CAGCAGCCACGGGAAUACGAAGGGUGCAAGCGUUAAUCGGAAUUACUGGGCGUAAAGCGUGCGUAGGCGGUUUGUUAAGUCUGCUGUGAAAUCCCCGGGCUCAACCUGGGAAUGGCGGUGGAUACUGGCAAGCUAGAGUGUGUCAGAGGAUGGUGGAAUUCCCGGUGUAGCGGUGAAAUGCGUAGAGAUCGGGAGGAACAUCAGUGGCGAAGGCGGCCAUCUGGGACAACACUGACGCUGAGGCACGAAAGCGUGGGGAGCAAACAGGAUUAGAUACCCCCGUAGUCCCUGUCUCUUAUAC
rnacentral:rRNA from 1 species